CCUAGGCUACAGACAGAGGACUCUGCACCUAGGGGAAAGUCCCCGGAUCCCAGGUAGAGUGCCACGUGCCCACACAUGCAGACCUCCCCUGCUUCUCACUGUCAAGCCACCAAGAUUACAGAAGCCAGGGGCAUGGUUAUGGUGGUGCAGACAAAGGGACAGGGGUUAUCUGCUUUCUCGACUUACCUUCUCAUUAAUAG
rnacentral:sRNA from 1 species